UACGGGGGGGGCAAGCGUUGUUCGGAAUUACUGGGCGUAAAGGGCUCGUAGGCGGCCAACUAAGUCAGACGUGAAAUCCCUCGGCUUAACCGGGGAACUGCGUCUGAUACUGGAUGGCUUGAGAUUGGGAGAGGGAUGCGGAAUUCCAGGUGUAGCGGUGAAAUGCGUAGAUAUCUGGAGGAACACCGGUGGCGAAGGCGACUUUCUGGGCUGUAACUGACGCUGAGGCGCGAAAGCGUGGGGAGCAAACAGG
rnacentral:rRNA from 1 species